AGUGAACGCUGGCGGUAGGCCUAACACAUGCAAGUCGAACGGCAGCACAGUAAGAGCUUGCUCUUACGGGUGGCGAGUGGCGGACGGGUGAGGAAUACAUCGGAAUCUACUUUUUCGUGGGGGAUAACGUAGGGAAACUUACGCUAAUACCGCAUACGACCUACGGGUGAAAGCAGGGGAUCUUCGGACCUUGCGCGAAUGAAUGAGCCGAUGUCGGAUUAGCUAGUUGGCGGGGUAAAGGCCCACCAAGGCGACGAUCCGUAGCUGGUCUGAGAGGAUGAUCAGCCACACUGGAACUGAGACACGGUCCAGACGCCUACGGGAGGCAGCAGUGGGGAAUAUUGGACAGAGGGCGCAAGCCUGAUCCAGCCAUACCGCGUGGGUGAAGAAGGCCUUCGGGUUGUAAAGCCCUUUUGUUGGGAAAGAAAAGCAGCAGGUUAAUACCCCGCUGUUCUGACGGUACCCAAAGAAUAAGCACCGGCUAACUUCGUG
rnacentral:rRNA from 1 species